rnacentral:rRNA from 1 species
AAGCGGCAACAGCUCAAAUUUGAAAUCUGGCUCUCGGGCCCGAGUUGUAAUUUGUAGAGGAUGCUUUUGGUGAGGUGCCUUCCGAGUUCCCUGGAACGGGACGCCAUAGAGGGUGAGAGCCCCGUCUGGUUGGACACCGAUCCUCUGUAAAGCUCCUUCGACGAGUCGAGUAGUUUGGGAAUGCUGCUCUAAAUGGGAGGUAUAUGUCUUCUAAAGCUAAAUACCGGCCAGAGACCGAUAGCGCACAAGUAGAGUGAUCGAAAGAUGAAAAGAACUUUGAAAAGAGAGUUAAAAAGUACGUGAAAUUGUUGAAAGGGAAGCGCUUGUGACCAGACUUGGGGCUUGGUUGAUCAUCCGGGGUUCUCCCCGGUGCACUCUUCCGGCUCAGGCCAGCAUCAGUUCGCCCUGGGGGAUAAAGGCUUCGGGAAUGUGGCUCUCUCCGGGGAGUGUUAUAGCGCCGCUGCGUAAUACCCUGUGGCGGACUGAGGKUUCGCGCAUUCGCAAGG